AGGCUAGGAUGACCGAAAUUUCUCGAUUCUGAUUUGGAUUUCGGGUAAAGGACCAAAUUCCAGAGCAAAAAUCUUUUGCUUUGUGAUGACCGCGUUUGUGCGUGUCUGAGCCUC